AUUGAACGCUGGCGGCAUGCUUUACACAUGCAAGUCGAACGGCAGCGCGGGCUUCGGCCUGGCGGCGAGUGGCGAACGGGUGAGUAAUGCAUCGGAACGUGCCCAGUAGUGGGGGAUAGCCCGGCGAAAGCCGGAUUAAUACCGCAUACGACCUGAGGGUGAAAGCGGGGGACCGAAAGGCCUCGCGCUAUUGGCGCGGCCGAUGUCGGAUUAGCUAGUUGGUGGGGUAAAGGCUUACCAAGGCGACGAUCCGUAGCUGGUCUGAGAGGACGACCAGCCACACUGGGACUGAGACACGGCCCAGACUCCUACGGGAGGCAGCAGUGGGGAAUUUUGGACAAUGGGGGCAACCCUGAUCCGGCCAUGCCGCGUGCGGGAAGAAGGCCUUCGGGUUGUAAACCGCUUUUGUUCGGGAAGAAAUCCUCUGGGCUAAUACCCCGGGGGGAUGACGGUACCGGAAGAAUAAGCACCGGCUAACUACGUG
rnacentral:rRNA from 1 species